rnacentral:tRNA from 1 species
UUGGUUAGAGCGCCGGCCUGUCACGCCGGAGGUCGCGGGUUCGAGCCCCGUCACUCGCGCCA